rnacentral:tRNA from 1 species
GGUUGUGGCUCAGUGGUAGAGUGCUUGCCUGGCAUGUGUGAGGCACUGGGUUCAAUUCUCAGCACCA